UCAGUGGUUAAAGCCAAUAGCUUAACUAUUGUAUGCCAUUGAAACUGGAUGUCUUGAAUAGGGUAGAGGUAGGCGGAAUGUGUUGUGUAGCGGUGAAAUGCUUAGAUAUAACACAGAACACCGAUUGCGAAGGCAGCUUACUAUGCCUUUAUUGACACUGAUGCACGAAAGCGUGGGGAUCAAACAGGAUUAGAUACCCUGGUAGUCCACGCUGUAAACGAUGAUCACUCGUUUUUGGCAAUACAUCGUCAGAGACUAAGCGAAAGCAUUAAGUGAUCCACCUGGGGAGUACGUUCGCAAGAAUGAAACUCAAAGGAAUUGACGGGGGCCCGCACAAGCGGAGGAACAUGUGGUUUAAUUCGAUGAUACGCGAGGAACCUUACCUGGGCUUAAAUGUAUAGUGCAUAAUAUGGAAACAUAUUUUUCCUUCGGGACUCUUUACAAGGUGCUGCAUGGUUGUCGUCAGCUCGUGCCGUGAGGUGUCGGGUUAAGUCCCAUAACGAGCGCAACCCUCAUCGCCAGUUGCCAGCAUGUAAUGAUGGGGACUCUGGUGAAACUGCCGGUGUAAACCGUGAGGAAGGUGGGGAUGACGUCAAAUCAGCACGGCCCUUAUGUCCAGGGCUACACACGUGUUACAAUGGCCAAUACAAAGGGCAGCCACCCGGCGACGGGGUGCUAAUCCAUAAAGUUGGUCUUAGUUCGGAUCGGAGUCUGCAACUCGACUCCGUGAAGCUGGAUUCGCUAGUAAUCGUAGAUCAGCCAUGCUACGGUGAAUACGUUCCCGGGCCUUGUACACACCGCCCGUCAAGCCAUGGAAGUUGGGGGUACCUGAAGUCCGUAACCGCAAGGAGCGGCCUAGGGUAAAACCGAUGACUGGGGCUAAGUCGUAACAAGGUAACCGUA
rnacentral:rRNA from 1 species